AAAUAUUAUUGUUUCAGAAAACAGAAAACUUAUCUAAAAAGAAAGAUAAGGAAAGUUUUGGGAAUAGUGCAAAUUUUUUCAAGGAAAGCUUCCGUAUGAAUCGCCAAUGCUGGUAGUGGAUUACAGAUAUAAAUUUGCAACGACUCAAAAAUUUUCAAAGACCUUUCCAAUGACAACAACCCACAAACAGAGGAAAUAAGAAGAGCAAUAGCUGAUUAUUUUGUUUCUUCACACGAAUCUUCAGAUGGUUCUUCAGACGAUGAUGAAAUUCGGAUGGAAAUCGAUCCACUAUCGAUUGGAGAUGAAGAACAAAGCUUUUGAUCCGAAUUAACCAUUGAUGAAUGGGCUGCAACAGACAAAAUAGUUUAAUUUAUAAAACUUGU